CUUUAUGAAAAGUUCAAGGUGUCACUGAUGAGCUCAACAAACUGUUGAUCCUGACCACGUGGAGUGGCGGACCGUGGGACCGUGGGGCGCGCUUGCUAGUCCAGCUCCUGCAGCACACCCGGACCCCAGCUCUCUUGGCUGCGAUAGGGGCUGAGCGUGGGUGGGGCCGCCUCGCGCCCAGGACGCUGCCUGUGCCUUCGCCGAUCUUUGGUCUCAAGGAAAUUAUUUAAUUUUUUAAAAAAUUUAAGCAAAACACAUUUUACUACUGGAAUAGUAAUGAGAGAGCUUGGAAUAGGGAGGGGAAGAAGGAGUCCCCAGUUAUAUAACGACUUGAAGUUAGAUCACUUUUGUUGGGGGGAGAUUCCGGGAUUUCUGCUAGCGCCAGGUUGAGGCUGGUUAAAGAUCUUCAAACUUUUUCCCUUAAGAGCCAAUAAACAAACAGACGCCCCGGGAGCUGUCUUAAACUUGUUUGGCUCGUGUUCGCUGGGAUUCUCAGACUGGGAGAAAGGCACUCCCCUGCGGCGCUCGAGAAGAAGUCCCUUGGAAAUCAGGCGGGUCACUUUCAGAAUUGGGAUUCUGGUGUUCCCCGCGGGUGAGGAUCUCUAACCGCGGCUGCCCCCAGGUUCGCCUCCCUAGCCUUAGAGCACAGGCGGCCGGAGAUCUCGCUGCCUUUCGCUGUUGAAGCCUAGCGAUCCGUGAACUUGAGUCCUGGCCGAAGCGCUCCUGCAACUGUGCACCACUAAAGAGCUCUAAGGGAUUCUGGAUCUGGGUGUACUUGAGGACCUUACGCAGUAACCUGUCUGCGCCGCGCAUUCUUGCCCUGAUGAACCCUGUUUUCCCUUCGCGGACUGUGGGCUUUUUGGAAUCUCCCUUGUGUGGGCAGGGUGCCAGAGCGCGGAAGCCAAGCGUGGGCGAGAGGAUGCCGUCUGGGGUCUAGUUUUGACACUGAACUGCGAGAAAACAAAGGGAGCCCGGAGCUGGGAGACUCUGCGGAGUCCCCGCCCGCCCUGCGCAUUAGCAGGCGCUGCGCGGCACGGCGCGGCGCGUCGGGGCUUCCUGGCCAGCUCUGCUCUGGGGAAUUAGAACGAACUCUAGCGGCGGUUUGCAACUCCGCCCUGGGCGAGAGGAUGGCAACAGGUGGCCGUGUGCAGUGGAGUGGCCGGUGGUGAGGACUGGGACUAGGAUGAUCUUGGGGGCUAACUGGUGGCCGACGUGCUGGUUGACCUUUGUCACUUUCGUUUCCUAGGCUGGGAAGAAAGAAGUAAUUAAAAGGUUUUUUAAAAAAGGUGUC
rnacentral:lncRNA from 1 species